CGAUCCCAAGCUCGCUGAACUCUACAUAGUCCAAGAGGUCCGUUUCGGAACUCUCUGCCUGGUCCAAGAUGGCUGUCUAUGAACUAACCAGUCUCUAUGCUGUUCUUAGAUCUGUUUCCCUUUCUUUGCCAGCCUCUCUCUCUCCUGUCCUUGUUCACAGGUCCAGAACACCUCCAGCACCACCAUGGGUAGCGAUCCUGACAAACUCACUGAUGUCACCUGUGACUGCACCCUGGUCUCUGGCUAUGCUUGCAGCGCCACCCUGGUCUCCAGCUACGCUCUGGUCUCUGGUCCUGCCUGCGGCACCACCCUGGCGGCUAACUCAGCUCUGGUCUCUGGUCCCUCCCACAGCUGGUCUCUGAGCUCACCUUCUGCUCAUCCCUGGCUUCCUGCUCUGCCUGCACCGCCCUGGCUUCCUGCUCUGCCGGCUUCACUCUGUCCUCCACCACAUGAACUUGACCCACCAUUCCACCCUUGUUACGUCCACGCUCCAUCCUUCUCCUAUUUCAUUGUGGCCCUGGGACUGAUCAUGCCACCAUCUGUUACCAAUCAGUCUGGUGUUUUUUCAUCCAAGCAGAGAUGUCUACUAAACAGGCUGAAAUGUGAGCUGAUACAGUGGGAUAAUUUGGGUGAAAUGUACGGUGGCCGAAAAGUGCGAAACAACAUUACAAUGUGUGAAACACUUUUACAAACCUCGAGACAAAUGUACAUUUUGGAAAACAUUUUUACAUAUCAUAAAACACAUUUACAUUGGGUAAAACACUUUUAUCAAGGAUGAAACAAAUUUACAUUUUAGAAAACAAAUUAACAAGACGCAAAACAGUUUUACCAGUCCCAAAACAAAUUUACAAUGACAGAUUCUACAGGUAGGACUGCGGCCGAGGGAUGUUUUGUGGCCAACAUAUGAGCACCGUAACGCGGUUUUGCGUCACGUGUGGUCGGUGUUUGGAGUUUUUGAACGACACGGACCAGAUGGAAACACGGGACAUACUGCAUCAAUGUGUUCAAUAUUUUAACGAGGGCCACUCGUACGCUGUAAUCGUGGACAUGAUGUCAAGUCUACGCGGUGUAAACAUCAGCUUGAGGACUCUUAAAAGUAAACUAAACAAAGCUGGGUUGUAGCGUAGAAAGGAUUAUUCCUCUCCAAACUCCGUUUGUAACACCAUCAGAUUGGAACUUCGUGGACCUGGACAACUAUUUGGCUACCGCACGAUGUGGCAGCUACUCAAACAAAAGUACAAUUUGUGAUGAAUUUGCUCCGGGAGCUUAAUCCUCGAGGGUGUGAGAGUAGAACUGGUGGUCUAUAUUUAGAAAGGGAAGGUCUCAGUUCUGGAUGGAGUUAUUUGCAGACCUUAGAGAAGCUGGGUACUUCAACAUGAGUCAUGAGCAUCAGUGUCUAUUGAGAUACUGCUUUGGUGAUGUCAUUCAGAAGGACUUAGAUGAGUGUGUGAGACUGUGGAACAGUCACAGAAUUCGCCCUUCCAGAACAGCAGCGUGUCCAGGAGGAGUGCCCAAUGAACUCUACUACUUACCACACAGGUUUUGCUUGAGAGACCGCGGAUUUCAAAUUGAACAAACUGAAAUGGAUGACUUUCCUGAGGCUAGCCUGUCAAUAACUCCUUGUGGGGACCCAAACAUGCAGGAGUACUUGGACUUUGCCAUAGAACACAGUCAGUUACAGAAG